rnacentral:lncRNA from 1 species
CCUGAGUAUCACCAUCACUUACAAAGGGCAGCAUAGUAACUUCUUUGAUGUCACUGGGAAAGUGAAAACAGGAAGCAUCGCAGCCCGCUAUGGAAGCCUGGAGUGAUGGGUUUGGGUAAGAGGAUGUGUUUAUCCUGACCCAUCAUGAUAACUUAAUUAUGUUCUUUUUGGGAAAGACCAUAAAAGGCUAAUGUACCCAGGGUUCGUGAUGACACUAAAGGGCACUGGUGAAUGUCCAUCAUCUUUGGGUUUAUCCCGAUACAUUCCUUGUGCUAUCCCUCAGGAAGACUUCCAAAAAGCAUAGAUAACAGCUGGACUUCUGAGUCUUACUCCAAAGGCAGGAGUCUUGUGCUACAGAUCGACGUUUGGCCCUGGGUCAGCGGCGCUCCCUUCAGACCAGUGGCGACUGCCUGAGAGACUUCUGGGCCAAGCAGGCGGUCAUAUAUUUCUUCCUUAAUCCUGUGUGCGUGGGCGAAGCAUCAGGCAAAGGUAUAAAUAAAAUGUUCUGAC